UGUCACAUAAGAGCCAUUUAUUUACAUAUUCAGAGGAAUGGCCCCAGUGGGCCAGCCUCUGACAGGGACUCCUGCUGAGCUGGGAUGAGUGGGGAGACUUGAUUGCAGGGGGGUAGAUAGCCUGUGGGAGUUCCACCCACAGCAGAGCCCAAGUGGCCGGAGCCUGCAGCCUUAAGAGUAGUUGGUGUUGGAGAUCUCCCUCCAGAGUAAGGUCUUAAGGUGGCUAAGCACCAGAGAAUGGUGAGCCUCAACCUGGCUGGCCAGUCCACUCAGUGUGGUGCAUGUGCGAAGCUGUUUGCCCAGCUCCUCAUAAAGGUCCGCAGGGGCUCCGGGCAGCAGAUAGUCCCUCAGCAGCUCGCACACCUUGGCCAAGUUGGGCUGGAUGAGGUCACCCUUGCACUGCCUCAUGAGCUUGUCACAUGGCGCCCUGCAGUCUCGCCCAUAGAUGCAGUCAGAGCUCUGCUCACAGUGGCGGCCCUGAAGGAAGCGACGCACAGUGGCCUCUGGGGCCACCUGCUGCAGGUCAGCCAUCUUGAAGUCGUAGGUGGCUGUGUACCCCACAUUGGCAAGUGUAGUCUCACACAUGUAGAAGGUACCAUAGGAACCAUGGAAGAGCUCCUCUACAAAUUCCAACAGGCCAAUGGCGAUCUUUGCACGCCAUGGCCAUGCAGGUCCAAACCACUGCUGGAGAGCCCUGUGCAGCACAGAUGGUAGAAGGGGGCGCAAGGCAGGCAGCAACACUGCCCCGUGCCAGGAGCCGUGAGGGAUGCUCUCGGUAAGGUAGAGGUCCCCGCAGUAGCCCAGCAGCCGGGAAGCAUGCUCCUUCUCCUGAAGGGACAACAGCAGCAGGAACUCAUUGCGCUGCAGCAGGGCCCACACAGACUUGGCUUCCGCCAGGGAUACCCUGCUGUCCUUGUUGAAGUCCGCCAUAAGAAGUAUCUGGUCAACCAGCGCUGGCAGGGAGGGCAGGUCUCCUAAGUUAGCCUGCCAUUUGAGACCAAAAGGAAAGCAGAGAAGCAUACCUCAGCUGGAAGAGCACUCUGGUCUAGCCUGGUCUCUAGAAAAUCAAGGAGUGCUGCCUGUACCAUACACACCAGCUCUUCUCUGAGCUGUGCACACAGGCCACAGCACUAGCUUUGACCCUUGUUCCCAUCUCCUAGUCCCUACUUUAACUACACUGGAUGUGGAGUCCUCAAACUCCUGAGCCCUCACCAUGCUGCCAGUUUGUUCCCACAAGCCCUGGGACGAUGCUUCCCUGCCUGCCUCCUGCCCAGGUCUUUGUAGACAUCCCCUGCUGUGGA
rnacentral:lncRNA from 1 species